UACAGGGGGUGCAAACGUUGCUCGGAAUCAUUGGGCGUAAAGCGCACGUAGGCGGUUCGUUAUGUCGGAUGUGAAAGCCCUUGGCUUAACCGAGGAAGUGCAUCCGAAACUGGCGAGCUAGAGUACGAAAGAGGAUCGCGGAAUUCCCGGUGUAGAGGUGAAAUUCGUAGAUAUCGGGAGGAACACCGGUGGCGAAGGCGGCGAUCUGGGUCGAUACUGACGCUGAGACGCGAAAGCGUGGGGAGCGAACAGG
rnacentral:rRNA from 1 species